GUGGAGCUGUACGGUUGUUAGUGAUCCUGGAAGCCUGGACAGAAUAAGGGUGGGGUGGGGAGCAAAAGCCAGAAAAUCACUGACAUGAGAUUUCCCUCUCCAUUUCUGCUCUUUUGAUCAUGCCUGGUGACCUACAGAUGGCCACCUAAGACGCCAAGGUGAUGACUUUAUUCCUGCUGAAGUUUCCCUCCACUCCAUUUCAGCCCCACCCCAAGACACCCUAGAUCUCAUCUCGCAAAGCAUUGGCGCCCCUUCUCACUCCUACUCUGCCCGUCCUCCCCUUCUUCCCUGCUUUGUGGCCGUCACAGUGAUAACUGUGUUGCUCCACAAUGCCCUCCCUGCUGUGAUGGAUGGAUCCCUCUGACAAUGCGAGGCCAGAUAUUUUCUCUGUUAAGUUGGCCUUGCUAUGCAGUCUGAUGCAGCAAAAACAACUCAAACAUAACAAGCACAGAAAAAACUUACUCCACCUUUGAUCACAGCGUGUCCUCCACCCAACAGACGCCAGGAGAACAUCUUGAAAGUGACCAGAUGCCAGGCAGAUAGUGCUUGGAGGUGGAUCCCUGUGCCCUAGAGUAGGCUGUACUGCCACCAGGAAAGGAAUGAUCAUACAAGGAGUCUACUAUGCCACAGUGAUAGGCUGACAUAGGGAUGGGGCUGUGGUGCUUAGCAUGCAUUCUGCCCUUAGCCAGCAUGUCUUCUGCACCACAGAGGCUGGAAUUUCCUAGACUACCAGGCAUCCUGACAUGCUGCUCUUCCUUGCUGAGGAAUGAGAUGAGUUACUGGCAUUUGAAAAACAAGUUAGUGGAGAACAAAGCACGCUUCGCUUCGGCUUUCCCAGGAGUAAUACAUACCCCCAGGCCGUCUGAUUUGGAACCUGUGUACAAGAACUUUGAAGGCCCUGCUAAUCUCAGAAGCUGCUGUACCUUGUUCCAUCCCUGCAGCAUCUCUCUCUGCCUGCCACUGAGGUUCUCACUCCCAUUUUACAGGGUGAAUGGAUGGCACGUGAGACCUGCCCACACCAUCUCAUUAUGAACAGAAGAGGUGCAUCCUGGCAUCCUCUUGCCACAUCAGCUGCACACCCAGAUCACCCACCCUUGGUACUGUUGAUGCCACCUUGGUUUCAUGAGAAAAGAAUCUGAAAUCAAUGCCAAGAAGAAUAAGUGGAGCCCAAGAGGAAGAAACCAAUGUCUGUAUUAUUUGAGCCCCUGGAUCCAGCUGAGACUGUGCUUAUAAAUAUCCUACUUACGGGAGACAAUGCAUUCUCCUUCCUUCACCGAGAUGAUUUGGGUUGUAUUUUCUGUCACUAUUGCUUGAAAAAAGUUCUGAUACAUGAUAUCAGGUGUCACAUUCACAUAACUCUAAAUAAAGGAAAUGUGCUUUUCUGGAA